rnacentral:rRNA from 1 species
UACCAGCACCCCGAGUGGUCGGGACGAUUAUUGGGCCUAAAGCAUCCGUAGCCGGUUUUACAAGUCCUCCGUUAAAUCCAGCUGCUUAACAGAUGGGCUGCGGAGGAUACUAUAAGACUAGGAGGCAGGAGAGGCAAGCGGUACUCAGUGGGUAGGGGUAAAAUCCGUUGAUCCAUCGAAGACCACCAGUGGCGAAGGCGGCUUGCCAGAACGCACUCGACGGUGAGGGAUGAAAGCUGGGGGAGCAAACCGG